rnacentral:misc_RNA from 1 species
GUUUGUUCGUGUUGACAGAUCGUUGUCAGAAAAUCUUAUACCGAUCGAAUAGUGCGUUGUUUAUCAACAUGUCAGUAUAUAUAAGCCGGGAGACGGCGUCUGAGUCAGACGACAUUCAAACUCAAGCUAGGCAUCAGUGGUUAUAAUAAAUAAUGUUCUCCCAAAAAGUGUUAGUUUUUGCAGUGCUAAUCGUGUUGGUGUCGAUGGUGGCAGCAAAUCCAUUGCAGCGCGAUUGGGCCAAUAUAAUGGUUCUACAGGAGUUCUGCGUUUUACAAGGCGGCGUGUGCCUUCCUGUUGAUGACUGCGAGCCUCAGAACCUCGUCCGAACGCAAUUGAGGGGCCUCCUAUGUAGCAAGCAGAGUGGACUUGAAUGCUGUUAUCAAUCUUGACGUCGAGGAUCUGCCUAAAUUUCCGCCUUAAUUUAAGAAGAUUUAUUUAAGUAACUUUAAUGUAAUAUUAUAAGAUAAAAAUGUCGCGAUAAGAUGAUAUAUUUUUAUCAUUAUAUAAAUAUAUAUAUACUUAAGUAAUAGUUAAGUUUUAUAAAAAUGUUAUACUAUUAGCUGUUUUGUUUUCUUUACGUUUUUACUAUUCAGUACUUAAUUUCAAUAGCUUUUGUUUGACUAGCUUCAUAAUCUUUUAUUUAAGAAGUUAUUCAGCGAAACUCAUCCGGUCAUUAUAUCAUGAACGAAAUAAUAAAAACAUCUAAAUCUUAAUAAAUAUUUUGACAAUAUUAGCAAAUCAGUUAUUUAUGUUGUUUUUAUUUAUUUUUUUAUUAACUUUUUUUGAGAAAACCUGCCAAGAAACUUAGAUCUUAGGAUCUUCUUUAACUUUAAAAAAUCAUGGCCAAUAUUCGACUUACGUUACGACACGUUAGAAUAAAAAAUGUUGAUUCAUAAACUUAACAAUUUAUUUACAAUAAAUUGAAAUGCAAAUUCUAGAUGAAGAUUUUUAAAGUUUUGCAUUGUAUUUAAAUGUGUAAAAUAAUAAAUUGAAAUAAUUGUAUAUUAAUGUUUAUAAUAUUUUAUAUCUUCUCCUUAUUGUUUUCUAAUAUUUACUUUAAUGUUCUUCUCCUUAAUUAAUUAUCCUUCUUAUACAGAAAUAGAGUUAUGCCCAGCAGUAGGAUGUUACAGGCAGAAUCGUAAUAUUUAAUUACAAUAAUUUUUUAAUUUAUAAAGAUAAACGCAUCUCUUUGUACAAAUAGAGCUUAAAAUGAAAACAUCUGUGGGCAUUAUAAAUGUUUGCCAAUUUUGGGGAUCAAAAGCGCGACCGCCAGCGCAACAGCUAUGAGAGUGGUGUGACCGUUGUCCAGAUAAACCGAAAAAUAUGUUGAAAUGUAUAUCAACUUUUCGAAGGAUAGUACUAAAGUAUGGUUGAUAACUCUGUCGAAUCCGGGUAAUACUUGGCGUUCGUUGUAGUGCGAAGUAAAGGAGCCGCCAAUAUUUAAAACUGAGUAUGAUAAUAUUACAAGUUUAACGUAGUUAUUGUACCGGAAGACUAAAUAAUAUAGGUACUUGUGUGACAAAGUGCUGUGGGGUUACGGCAGUAAAGAGCCCCCCCCCUUUCUUCCCGUGGGUGUCGUAAGAGGCGACUAAGGAAUAACACAGUUCCACUACCACCUUGCAACUUAAAAAGCUGACGAAUGGCAGGAUAACUAUCCAACUACUGGCUUUGAAAUACAUAGGCCGAAGAUGGGCAGCAUCGUCUGCGAUCCGACAAAACCAGCCCUGCAGUAACCAACCCGCCUGACCAGCGCGGUGACUAUGGGCAAAAUACAUGAGUUCACGUCAUUUUUGGCGCGUACUUGAGGAGCCCUAUGUCUAGGAUGGACUGCGAUAGGAAGUGAAUAAGUGUGACUGGCGUAGUGGAGGUUAGGUAAUAUGAAUAGGGACACACUGAAGUUACGGCGUGGAUAAUUUACAUUAUAUAAUUUAUUACAAUAUAAUGUUAUUAUAUUCCAUUAAUAAAAGUGAUAAUAAGACUAACUAAUAUUGACUUUUGACAUGGCGAUUGUAAUAUUAGAUAAAUAUUUGUUAAACACCCCGCAAUAUACCAUAAAUAUUAAUAUUGUCUUUAUUUAGAUAGUACAAUAGUAUUAGUAGUAAUAAUGUAAGUAUAGAUAGUAUUCAAUUUUGCGCACAAAUUCGUUCGUAUAGAAAUUUUUACGUACCACGACCACCACGACCACGACCACUACUUUUACCACGUAUUAUUUUGUUCGACAGGAACAGAGCCUUUUUUAAGUAUUAUUAUACCAUAUAAUAUCAUCAAAAUAUAUCUCUAGAAAAAAAAAACACUAGACUUCCUUACCUUCCUUACCUACAUAC